CUAAUAUUAUUAGUGAUCUUUAACCUUAAUUAUGCGGGGUUGUCUUGUUCACACGUCACUUAACUUUGCACGCGCUGUUACCGAUAGCAGUUUUCAGGAAAGUAAAAUGUUUAUUUAAAAAGUGCAGGUUAAAACAGUGCGUUUAAGGCGAUAGUGCAACUUGCAGUUGGUAGCUUUAAUUUCUGUAUUCGGAAUAGUUGCAGACAUGUUUUUUCGUGAUUUAUUCGCUCGACUGCACCCGCACAAUGAAAUUUGCCAAUGGGCGAAUGGAUAAUGUCGGAGAAACCCGAGGCCAUGAUAGCUGUACUUCUCAAGGACACAAUAGAUAAGUAUUAAAGAAAUCGCAGUUAAGGAGGUAGUGGUGUUCGGUGCCAACCUGACCCGAAUUAUAUAGCCUGCAGACUCUAUCUUCAAAUGGGGUUCCGUCGUAUCGGCCUGUCUCGAUUGGAAACCAGUGGUUAGCAGUCCUGAAUUGGAAUAGGUGCUGGUGGAUGCUUGAUGGAAGACUGAUUGCAGCUCAUCAGUUAUGUGCUCUAUGGUCUGCUGCGAUUUGGGCUGUUUUCCCGUAGAAUGCCACAGCGUUUAAGUUCUCAUCUAGAUGUGACGACAUUCGCUGUGUGCAGUCACCUGUUUGUCACGAUUAAAUAUGCGUUCAGUACAUAUAACUCAACACCGAACUUUUUUUGUCGGAGUACAUUAAAAAAAAACAUAUUAACUUAUGCUUGUUUCCUUAUGGGGUUUUUACAAUGAACUAUGAAUUAUAUCAAUUGCUUUAUAAAUUCAGUUUUGUUAGGAUUCAAUUUAAUGUUGGCUGUGUUCAUGCUAGUAUAACAUGUCACGUAAUCGCUUAUUGUUCGUGGCGAACACAAAGUACAAACAAA